GCCUGGCUGGCUCAGUCGGGACAGCAUGCGACUCUUGAUCUCAGAGUUGUGGGUUUGAGCCCCACGUUGGGUG
rnacentral:tRNA from 1 species